AUUGUUGUAUGGGUAAUAAACCUACACCAUACAGUAAAUAAAUGUGCGGUAAAGUAAAUUCAUAAAGUAAAUUGUUAGGAUUAGUAACGGUUUCCCACUGAUAAUAUGUUUAGUAUUACCGAGGGUCCAUUUUUGUUAAUGGUUAGUAAAAUAAAAGCAGAUAAAUAUAAUAUGAAAUAAUAGAGAAGAUAAGGGAGCAGAAAACUUAUCGCUUAUGCCCUUGGUGAGUGAUCCCCCUUUUUCUUUUUCUUUUUUCUUUUUUUUAUUUUUUAUUUUUUAUAUUUAUUUAUUUUUAUUUAUUUUUUUUAUUAUAUUUAUUAUUAUUAUUUGCAGAAAACUGUCGGUGGGUCUUUCCUUUCAUCAUUGCUGCUACAAGGAAUGCUGCUUUUUAGGAAAGUGCCCACCCUAUAUCCUACUCUGAAAAGCAUGUCACUUCCAAAAGUACUAUAAAGAAAACAGAGCACACAAUUUGGGACCCAAGACCCGAUUAUGCGCCCAACUUUUCUUAGUGCGUUUUGCUCAUGCUGUCCAUUUCAUCAAAGGGGAUCUUGAUCUCUUCCAAUGAACAACAAACCAAGCUCAGCCACACCACCAUCGUCAAAACCCACAUGGGUCCUGCCCUACAAGACCCAAAACCUCACUGACCUCUACACUUUGGAUAAGAUUUUGAGUGCUCGAGUCCACGACAUGAUCAACACCUCCAGCAUGGGCUACCUCCACGAUCCGAGAAGCCCACAACCACACCGACCUCAUCGUGGUUUCGAUCUACGUGAACCCAGGUCAGUUCUCUCCCUCCGAAGACCUCUCCAUCUACUCAUCUGAUUUCCAUGGCGAUGUCUGCAUCACAGAGAACGGAGAGCUCCUGAAGCUGACCGAUGAGCUGCCUCAGCAUGGCCAGACCUUCCAUGCCCCCCUGAGGCCCUAGCAGCGGCAAUACCGAAACGUCCUGGAGGGAGGUCAAGAGCCUGAGAAUCGUCCGAAGCUGCUCGAGCGCUCGGUGGUCGCCGAGGUCAGAGACGUAGGCUCGGAGGUAGUUGACGGGAGCGCCGGUCAGGAGGCUCUCGAGCUCAAGAAACGCCUCGAGCUCAAGAAACGCCUCGAGCCGUGAGUUCACGUAGUGGAAGCCCGCCGGGUUCAGCUUGAGCACUAGGCUUCCGUCGAUCAAAGAACCGGCUUGUUGCUCCACGAAGUGUACCAGCUUCUCCAGGAUCGUCUAGGAUUCGAGGAAGAAGAAGACUUUUCUCCACCAUUCAGGUUCUAGGCCCUUCUCCUAUAGGAUGGAUGCACGGAGGCAGGGGGGUCCAAAUUCCCAGAGAUCGACGUCUUUGGCGACGUUUAUGUUUGACUUGGGAAUGAGUUGACCGAGUCCCUUCAUGUUAAACAGACGACGAUGGUGGAGAGGAGCCAGUUGGUUAUUCAGGAGUCCGCCUCCCAACUUCCUCCCGAUACUCCGAUAGUCUGUGAAUUCUCCACAGGAUGCUGGGUUUCAGAUCUUGACGGAGACGUUGGAUCAGACUCUCGGAAGGAGGCCGGGGACAUAUUGUCGAGGGAUGGAGAAUGCCAGGCAGAGGGAACCCAGACCCCGUUCAUCAGCGCAGUCAAACAGUCAGGUGACUGCUUUGACAGCACAGGUGGCCACUCUUCAGUGUCAGAUGUCGGUGAUUCUGCAGUCCCUCGCAUGGUCCGGCAUUCCAGUCCAGCAUUUUGAUGUGCCGACCUUCGAGCCCGUCUACCCCGGGCAUCCCCACCAGACGACAGCCCCUGUAGACCCCCAGACCUCUGAGCUGCAUGUGCCAGACGACAAUGUAGAUUUUGAAACUUUAUUUGAUUAGUUUUUUAUUUUCAUAAUUAUU